rnacentral:rRNA from 1 species
AGAGUUUGAUCAUGGCUCAGGACGAACGCUGGCGGCGUGCCUAACACAUGCAAGUUGAGCGACGAACCAGGGCUUGCCCUGGGGCAAAGCAGCGAACGGGUGAGUAACACGUGGGUAACCUGCCCCGAUGACCGGGACAACCCGAGGAAACUCGGGCCAAUACCGGAUGUGCUCCACAGACAUCAGUGUGUGGAGUAAAGGAAGCUUCGGCCUCCGCUUCGGGAGGGGCCCGCGGCCCAUUAGCUAGUUGGUGAGGUAACGGCUCACCAAGGCAACGAUGGGUAGCUGGUCUGAGAGGACGAUCAGCCACACUGGGACUGAGACACGGCCCAGACUCCUACGGGAGGCAGCAGUGGGGAAUCUUGCGCAAUGCGCGAAAGCGUGACGCAGCAACGCCGCGUGGGGGAAGAAGGCCUUCGGGUUGUAAACCCCUUUCAGGAGGGACGAAGGUGCGGCGGCGAAUAGCCGUCCGUAUUGACGGUACCUCCAGAAGAAGCCCCGGCUAACUACGUGCCAGCAGCCGCGGUA